AGCGAGGUAGAGAUGGGGCAGCGAUAUUAUAUAUAUAUAUAUAUAUAUAUGUAUAUAUGAGGGAGGCGGGACACCAGCCGACAGACGUGGUGUAAUUGGUGCUUCCAGGAUCGGUCACGCCCAAGGGGAUUCCCAUAGUGAGAGACCUCAAUCUUGUUUUCAGAGAACCAGGGUUACGUAAGUAACCUAAAGUUUCCACGCACUUGCACCUAAGAGGUGCAGGGUUAAUAGAGCUGCUUGGACUUGCCAUCCUGAGGAAGUCGGCAAAGACCUGCUCUCUGCGUCGAAAUGACGUAAUCCUCAAGAAACCACCUGUGAUUGACUUCAUUUGAGCUUUCCCAGAUGGAGGAGGAAUUUCCUCCUCGUCAUCCUGCACUUUGCCUGAAGAGAAGCUGUGAUCAGAGGCCUCAUUUUCUACCUUGGUGAGGAGACAGAGGAGUUCAUCAAGGACUAGCAGCCAUCCAGAGGCAUGCAGAGAUUGGGCCAGCUCCAGUGGCAUCCAGAGAUGGACCAGCUCCAGCCGGGUUCGGCUUUGUGAGGACUGGGGUGUUCAAAGCAACGCUGCCAACCCUAUGUGGACGACAACAAUCUCUUUAUUAAUUUACACAAUACUGUACACAUGAUUUAUCUGCAUCACACAAUUGACUAUACAUGAAUGCAGAAAGGACAUUGUUCAUAUCACACUCUCCUGUGUCACCCAAAUGAGGAUUGGUUGCGUUUUGAGUCUGGUUCCUCUCAAGGUUUCUUCCUCAUACCAUCUAAGGGAGUUUUUCCUUGCCACAGUCGCCUCAGGCUUGCCCACUUGGGAUGACAUCUAGGACUGUUUGUCUGUCUGUAUGUUUCUUGUUCCUUAUGUAAAGCUGCUUUGA